rnacentral:lncRNA from 10 species
AGGCCCAGGCCCAGCGGCUGGCCUGAGUCUACGCGGUUUGUGGUUCCUCCUUAGGAAGCCAGAUAUGGCACUUUCACUUUAAAGAUAAAGAAAACGAUUUUAAAUGAAAAUAAUUUUUUUUUCCCUUAAGGGGUGUACACUUUUACUUGGGUCACCUUUUGGUCUUCUUUCUUUUAAUAAAGAAACCCAAAAGUAUGAUCUCUCUCAAGUUUUCUUAUGUAAAAAAAAUGUAUAAUUUUAUUUUGUAUAGAGACGAGGUCUUGCUCUGUUGCUCACACUAGAGUGCAGUGGCUCAAUCAUAGCUCACUAUGGGCUCCUGGGCUCAAGCCAUCCUCCCUCCUAGACCUCCCGAAGUGCUGAGGUUACAAGCAUGAGCCACUGCACUGGCUUCUCAUGUUUAUCUAUUAUCUGGUGCCAACAAAAGGAGCUAUUUUAACUCAUCAGCAUUGCAGUUAGUUUUGAAGCUGACCAUCCGAUAGAUGUUUAUGGACAGUUCAAUCCUGGGCUAUGUAAUUUUGGAAAUAAAAUGAUAAAAUUGUUUUUCUGAUUCUAUGGUUUAUCUUCUAGUUGGGAAGAUAAAACCAGCACGUGUAAUGUAAUACAUGACAAUGGAAGAUUCUACGUAAUUAAGGGUUAACUCUGAAAUCAGAAGACAAGUUUUCCAAGACUUGGGAAGGUGGAGAGAUCAGAGAUCAGUGAGAG